rnacentral:rRNA from 1 species
AUUGAACGCUGGCGGCAGGCCUAACACAUGCAAGUCGAACGAGUGGCGGACGGGUGAGUAAUGUCUGGGAAUCUGGCUUAUGGAGGGGGAUAACUACUGGAAACUGUCGCUAAUACCGCGUACCAUCAGAUGAGCCCAGAUGGGAUUAGCUGGUUGGUGGGGUAACGGCUCACCAAGCCGACGAUCCCUAGCUGGUCUGAGAGGAUGACCAGCCACACUGGGACUGAGAAACGGCCCAGACUCCUACGGGAGGCAGCAGUGGGGAAUAUUUCACAAUGGGUGCAAGCCUGAUGCAGCCAUGCCGCGUGUAUGAAGAAGGCCUUCGGGUUGUAAAGUACUUUCAGUGGGGAGGCGUUAAUCGCAGAAGAAGCACCGGCUAACUCCGUGCCAGCAGCCGCGGUAAUAC